GAUGAACGCUGGCGGCGUGCCUAAUACAUGCAAGUCGAGCGAACGGACGAAAAGCUUGCUUCUCUGAUGUUAGCGGCGGACGGGUGAGUAACACGUGGAUAACCUACCUAUAAGACUGGGAUAACUUCGGGAAACCGGAGCUAAUACCGGAUAAUAUUUUGAACCGCAUGGUUCAAAAGUGAAAGACGGUCUUGCUGUCACUUAUAGAUGGAUCCGCGCUGCAUUAGCUAGUUGGUAAGGUAACGGCUUACCAAGGCAACGAUACAUAGCCGACCUGAGAGGGUGAUCGGCCACACUGGAACUGAGACACGGUCCAGACUCCUACGGGAGGCAGCAGUAGGGAAUCUUCCGCAAUGGGCGAAAGCCUGACGGAGCAACGCCGCGUGAGUGAUGAAGGUCUUCGGAUCGUAAAACUCUGUUAUUAGGGAAGAACAUAUGUGUAAGUAACUGUGCACAUCUUGACGGUACCUAAUCAGAAAGCCACGGCUAACUACGUG
rnacentral:rRNA from 1 species